AGUGAACGCUGGCGGUAGGCCUAACACAUGCAAGUCGAACGGCAGCACAGUAAGAGCUUGCUCUUACGGGUGGCGAGUGGCGGAAGGGUGAGGAAUACAUCGGAAUCUACUUUUUCGUGGGGGAUAACGUAGGGAAACUUACGCUAAUACCGCAUACGACCUACGGGUGAAAGCAGGGGAUCUUCGGACCUUGCGCGAAUGAAUGAGCCGAUGUCGGAUUAGCUAGUUGGCGGGGUAAAGGCCCACCAAGGCGACGAUCCGUAGCUGGUCUUAGAGGAUGAUCAGCCACACUGGAACUGAAACACGGUCCAGACUCCUACGGGAGGCAGCAGUGGCGAAUAUUGGACAAUGUGCGCAAGCCUGAUCCAGCCAUACCGCGUGGGUGAAGAAGGCCUUCGGGUUGUAAAGCCCUUUUGUUGGGAAAGAAAAGCAGCAGGUUAAUACCCCGCUGUUCUGACGGUACCCAAAGAAGAAGCACCGGCUAACUUCGUG
rnacentral:rRNA from 1 species